rnacentral:lncRNA from 1 species
GCUAUGUAAGAUAGUUAUUAUCACUACAAUAAAAUUGGGUUAUUGGGACACAUGUUUGAAAUAUUUUUAUGUAAGUGUCUCAUUUAUGCCAAAAUUUAAAAGAAAAUCUACUAAUACCUAAAUAUAAAGCCUAAUCCAACCAAAAAUAAAAAGUUAUUCUACUCAACCCACCUCAUCCAGCCCAUUUGGCCCGAUUACAAAUAGAAAAGAAAAUUACAAACAGAAAAAAAAAAAGAAAAAUCAAUUACCAUCUCCUCUUACUCAAUCCACUAAAAUUCUAGACGAAGAGCUCUUCCCUCUCGUCAUCCUCCGCCACCGCAGCCAACGAGAUAGAGUUUCGGCAGUAGCUAAAUGUUUAAAUAAAUGUUGGUAAAUUAGCAACACUGUUUUUAGGCUAUAGCGACACUCUUUAACUGUCACUGUAUACCUAGCGACCCCAUAUAUAGCAACACUUUUCAAAAGUGUCCGUAAUUUAACCAGCAACACUUUUUUUGACUUGUACCUACAUUUAAAAGUGCCGCUAUAGACCGUUUUUGUUGUAGUGUAUCUGAUCUAUCAGGAUGUGGCGUUUUAUAUAACGACCCAGCCCACUAGCAACAAUAACUCAUUGAGCCCAACCACCGGCCCAAAAUGCUUAAGACCAGUUAUUAUUCUAAGUCUCUUAUAAACCAAAUGAUAACCACCAUUCUCAUCCGAUGUGCACCCCCUCGUUAAAGCCCUGACGUCCUCGUCAGUCCCUCGUUAAAGCCUCAUCAGUCCGUGGGAGGGUGUCACAAACUCCCCUCGUUAAAGCCCUGACGUCGUCAGUCCAAUAACACACAGCCCAAAAUCACCAGGCGAUGUGAGACUCGUCUCUCUAGCCAGUCAUCCAGAUCCUGGCUCAGCCGAGACUCGCCACACAUGUCCAACUGGUGAACCAGCUCUGAUACCAAAUGUAACAACCCAGCCCACUAGCAACAAUAACUCGUUGGGCCCAACCAUCGGCCCAAAAAAAUGCUUAAGUCCAGUUAUUAUUACUAGUAUCUGAGUCUCUUAUAAACCUAAUGACAAUUCCAUUCUCAUCCGAUGUGGGACUAUUAGGGUAUCACAUUUUAUGGCCAUACUAA